rnacentral:rRNA from 1 species
UGGGGAAUAUUGCACAAUGGGCGCAAGCCUGAUGCAGCCAUGCCGCGUGUAUGAAGAAGGCCUUCGGGUUGUAAAGUACUUUCAGCGGGGAGGAAGGCGAUAAGGUUAAUAACCUUGUCGAUUGACGUUACCCGCAGAAGAAGCACCGGCUAACUCCGUGCCAGCACCGCGGUAAUACGGGGGUGCAAGCGUAAUCGGAAUUACUGGGCGUAAAGCGCACGCAGGCGGUCUGUCAAGUCGGAUGUGAAAUCCCCGGGCUCAACCUGGGAACUGCAUUCGAAACUGGCAGGCUGGAGUCUUGUAGAGGGGGUAGAAUUCCAGGUGUAGCGGUGAAAUUGCGUAGAGAUCUGGAGGAAUACCGGUGGCGAAGGCGGCCCCCUGGACAAAGACUGACGCUCAGGUGCGAAAGCGUGGGAGCAAAACA